AGUGAACGCUGGCGGUAGGCCUAACACAUGCAAGUCGAACGGCAGCACAGUAAGAGCUUGCUCUUACGGGUGGCGAGUGGCGGACGGGUGAGGAAUACAUCGGAAUCUACUUUUUCGUGGGGGAUAACGUAGGGAAACUUACGCUAAUACCGCAUACGACCUACGGGUGAAAGCAGGGGAUCUUCGGACCUUGCGCGAUUGAAUGAGCCGAUGUCGGAUUAGCUAGUUGGCGGGGUAAAGGCCCACCAAGGCGACGAUCCGUAGCUGGUCUGAGAGGAUGAUCAGCCACACUGGAACUGAGACACCGUCCAGACUCCGACGGGAGGCAGCAGUGGGGAAUAUUGGACAAUGGGCGCAAGCCUGAUCCAGCCAUACCGCGUGGGUUAAGAAGGCCUUCGGGUUGUAAAGCCCUUUUGUUGGGAAAGAAAAGCAGCAGGUUAAUACCCCGCUGUUCUGACGGUACCCAAAGAAUAAGCACCGGCUAACUUCGUG
rnacentral:rRNA from 1 species